CAACCCAAAUUAUUUUUGAAUCCGUUCUAGUCACAAUUUCGACCGACAACUGUGCGUUCUCGUCAUCAUUUAAAUAUGGAAACGUUAGUUAUUUGGAUUUUUAAGCUUUUCCCCUGCGCGUUUCACUUUUUGAUCUCGCUUUUGGCUUCCUUUCCAUCGUCUCUCGAUGAUGAGACUUUUCACAGACCUGUUCUGAAUGACUGUGAAUGUACUUUUUCUAUUCUGAAGUGAGACAUUUUUUUGGAAAGAAAGGCGGCUUCGGUGUCGCCUGCCCGCGUGUAGUCACGUGGCUAUGGCUAAUGCUAAAGCUAGCACCUCGUGCUUCUUGUAUGUCUUGCAGAUGCAGCCUGUUCGCGAAGCUACGUUAUUAAGCUCAGGUGGAGCUCGUUCAAGAACCUACUGGAUGGUCUUCUGAUCUUCAGGUAUUUCUAGUUUCUUUUCCAAAAAAUGAUCAUGGCUGCUGUGAUGAAUUCUAGAACUCUCUCUGACUGAACUAGUCUUUGAAGAGAACCAUUUUAAGUGUUAUUCUGAGCAGCACCCAUAGGCUAGUUCAAUGUUUCAUGUUAGGUUUUAAUAUUCUUUUCUGUUUGUAGAUGGGGGGAAAACAAACCUCUGGACUUUCUGGAUCAGCUGUUGGCUAACUCAUCACAAGCUACAAGGUGACUGAGGCACGAUGGCACAUCGUCAAACAUAAGUAAGCACUUGAAUUUGUCUCUAUAGGUGCAAUGAUGAUGACACUUAGCUCACUUUGACUUACUGUGAAAGGACACGAACAUCUGAGCACCUAAUAUUUAAUUGUAGAAAAUUGACAGUAAACUAAAGUCUUUGUGCUUCAACAGGCUCGAGGUGAGUGGGUGCGUUAAAAAAAAAGGCCCACCGGCGCUCUGCAGCUGAAAAUGAUGAGACACUACUGGAAUCUCGUUCGUCUGAAUACUGAUGAGAAUCACAAACCUGACGCCAGCCAUGCUUGAAUAGUUGCAGUGAAUGGAAAGUGUUCCCCAAAGCUCAUGACUUGUUUCCUCCCCUCAACCAGAUGUAUCCGCAUUUGGACCCCAUCUGCCAGGUGAGCAUUAAAAUCACGCAACAGCAAUAUGUGCUCCAUGCGUUUCUUUGGUGAUGACACCCGCACGCGUCUUACGCCAUGCGUCGAUGCCAGACCUGCAAAGGUGAACCCACUGGUGUUACCAUGGCAACAAGGGGACACCUUGUUGGGGUUUCCAACAGUCUGAAAAAGAAGUUUGCUGUAGCAUGGUGGCCACAUGUAAAGAAGCUAGCUAACAAUUUCCUUUAACUUUUCAGAUGGGAGGCGGCCAUUUCGUGGAGGUUGGCGUGUCUGUUUCGGCUACCAGGAUGCUGUUUUGCGCUGUCCGCGGCAGCCAUGUUGACUGGAUCGGCAUCUUGGAAAAUUUGGAAAUGCCCCUGCACACUGAAAGUGAUUCAUCGUAUUGACCCAUCUUUGAAAUAAAGAAAAAUAAAAU